rnacentral:rRNA from 1 species
UACGAAGGGGGCUAGCGUUGUUCGGAAUUACUGGGCGUAAAGCGCACGUAGGCGGAUCGAUCAGUCAGGGGUGAAAUCCCAGGGCUCAACCCUGGAACUCUCGUUAUACUGGCAAUCUAGAGUCCGGAAGAGGUGAGUGGAACUCCUAGUGUAGAGGUGGAAUUCGUAGACAUUAGGAAGAACACCAGUGGCGAAGGCGGCUCACUGGUCCGGUACUGACGCUGAGGUGCGAAAGCGUGGGGAGCAAACAGG